rnacentral:rRNA from 1 species
GGCGGCGUGCUUAACACAUGCAAGUCGAACGGUGAUGAUGGGGCUUGCCCUGUCUGAUCAGUGGCGAACGGGUGAGUAACACGUGAGCAACCUGCCCCAGACUCUGGGAUAACUCCGGGAAACCGGAGCUAAUACCGGAUAUGACCCUCGUACGCAUGUGCUGGGGGUGGAAAGUUUUUCGGUCUGGGAUGGGCUCGCGGCCUAUCAGCUUGUUGGUGAGGUAGUGGCUCACCAAGGCGACGACGGGUAGCCGGCCUGAGAGGGCGACCGGCCACACUGGGACUGAGACACGGCCCAGACUCCUACGGGAGGCAGCAGUGGGGAAUAUUGCACAAUGGGCGGAAGCCUGAUGCAGCGACGCCGCGUGAGGGAUGACGGCCUUCGGGUUGUAAACCUCUUUCAGCAGGGAAGAAGCGAAAGUGACGGUACCUGCAGAAGAAGCACCGGCUAUCUACGUGCCAGCAGCCGCGGUAAUACGUAGGGUGCGAGCGUUGUCCGGAAUUAUUGGGCGUAAAGAGCUUGUAGGCGGUUUGUCGCGUCUGCUGUGAAAAUCCGGGGCUCAACCCCGGACUUGCAGUGGGUACGGGCAGACUAGAGUGUGGUAGGGGAGACUGGAAUUCCUGGUGUAGCGGUGGAAUGCGCAGAUAUCAGGAGGAACACCGAUGGCGAAGGCAGGUCUCUGGGCCACUACUGACGCUGAGAAGCGAAAGCAUGGGGAGCGAACAGGAUUAGAUACCCUGGUAGUCCAUGCCGUAAACGUUGGGCGCUAGGUGUGGGGCUCAUUCCACGAGUUCCGUGCCGCAGCUAACGCAUUAAGCGCCCCGCCUGGGGAGUACGGCCGC